CUGGCUCAGGAUGAACGCUAGCUACAGGCUUAACACAUGCAAGUCGAGGGGCAGCAUGUGGUUGCUUGCAACCAAUGAUGGCGACCGGCGCACGGGUGAGUAACGCGUAUCCAACCUUCCCCUUAGUAGAGGAUAGCCCGGCGAAAGUCGGAUUAAUACUCUAUGUUCUUCAAUGCGGACAUCUAAGUUGAAGCAAAGAUUUAUCGCUAAGGGAUGGGGAUGCGUCUGAUUAGGUUGCAGGCGGGGUAACGGCCCACCUGGCCUACGAUCAGUAGGGGUUCUGAGAGGAAGGUCCCCCACACUGGUACUGAGACACGGACCAGACUCCUACGGGAGGCAGCAGUGAGGAAUAUUGGUCAAUGGGCGCGAGCCUGAACCAGCCAAGUAGCGCGCAAGGACGACUGCCCUAUGGGUUGUAAACUGCUUUUAUCAGGGAAUAAAGUGAGGCACGCGUGCCUUUUUGUAUGUACCUGAUGAAUAAGGACCGGCUAAUUCCGUGCCAGCCGCCGC
rnacentral:rRNA from 1 species